UUAAUGGCGAGCCUGACGGAGCACGCCGCGUGAGUGAGGAAGGCCUUCGGGUCGUAAAACUCUGACUUCAGGGAAGAAAAAAAUGACGGUACCUGAGGAGGAAGCCCCGGCUAACUACGUGCCAGCAGCCGCGGUAAAACGUAGGGGGCGAGCGUUGUCCGGAAUUACUGGGCGUAAAGGGCGCGUAGGCGGUUAUUUAAGUCAGAGGUGAAAACUACCGGCUCAACCGGUAGCCUGCCUUUGAAACUGGAUGACUUGAGGGCAGGAGAGGGGAGUGGAAUUCCCAGUGUAGCGGUGAAAUGCGUAGAUAUUGGGAGGAACACCAGUGGCGAAGGCGGCUCUCUGGCCUGUUUCUGACGCUGAGGCGCGAAAGCGUGGGGAGCAAACGGGAUUAGAUACCCCGGUAGUCCACGCCGUAAACGACGGGUGCUAGGUGUAGGAGGUAUCGACCCCUUCUGUGCCGUAGUUAACACAAUAAGCACCCCGCCUGGGGAGCACGGCCGCAAGGUUGAAACUCAAAGGAAUUGACGGGGGCCCGCACAAGCGGUGGAGCAUGUGGUUUAAUUCGACGCAACGCGAAGAACCUUACCAGGGCUUGACAUCCUCUGACCGCAUAUGAAAGUAUGUUUUCUGGCUUCGGUCAGACAGAGAGACAGGUGGUGCAUGGUUGUCGUCAGCUCGUGUCGUGAGAUGUUGGGUUAAGUCCCGCAACGAGCGCAACCCCUACGUUUAGUUGCUAACGUGUAACGAUGAGCACUCUAGGCGGACUGCCGUUGACAAAACGGAGGAAGGUGGGGAUGACGUCAAAUCAUCAUGCCCCUUAUGUUCUGGGCUACACACGUGCUACAAUGGCCGGUACAAAGGGACGCAAAGCCGCGAGGUGGAGCAAAUCCGAUAAAGCCGGUCUCAGUUCGGAUUGCAGGCUGCAUUCGCCUGCAUGAGUCGGAAUCGCUAGUAAUCGCAGGUCAGCAUACUGCGUGAUACGUUCCCGGGCCUUGUACACACCGCCCGUCACACCACGAAAGCGAGCAACACCGAGCGUGACUUACUUGAAGGAGAGGAGCUUGUCGAGGGUGGGGGUUGGGUGAUUGGGUGAGUCCUUAC
rnacentral:rRNA from 1 species